GUGAAUCAUCGAAUCUUUGAACGCACCUUGCACCCUUUGGUACUCCGAAGGGUACAUCCGUUUGAGUGUCAUUGUAACCUCACCUCUUUAACUUUUGUUGAUCAGUGUGGAUUUGGACGCUGCUGUGUCAAUGGCUCGUCUGAAAUGCCUGAGUGUACCCUGUUUCGUGGUGUAUUCAGUGUAAUAAACCUUCACUGGAGAUGGUCUUUGAACCACACCUCUUUGACAUGGCUCUAUGCUUCCAACCGUCUUCAUAAGACAAUACUCUGACAAUUUGACCUCAAAUCGGAUGGGACUACCUGCUGAACUUAAGCAUAUCAAUAAGCGGAGGA
rnacentral:misc_RNA from 1 species